GAUGAACGCUCGCUACAGGCUUAACACAUGCAAGUCGCGGGGCAGCAUGGGGGUUGCUUGCAAUCCCUGAUGGCGACCGGCGCACGGGUGAGUAACGCGUAUCCAACCUGCCCUUCACCACGGGAUAACCCGGCGAAAGUCGGACUAAUACCGUAUGUUGUCCAUUGACGGCCUCCGAUUUGGACGAAAGGCUUAGCGGUGAGGGAUGGGGAUGCGUCCGAUUAGCUUGACGGCGGGGUAACGGCCCACCGUGGCUACGAUCGGUAGGGGUUCUGAGAGGAAGGUCCCCCACACUGGAACUGAGACACGGUCCAGACUCCUACGGGAGGCAGCAGUGAGGAAUAUUGGUCAAUGGGCGUAAGCCUGAACCAGCCAAGUAGCGUGCAGGAUGACGGCCCUAUGGGUUGUAAACUGCUUUUAGGCGGGGAUAAAGGGACCCACGUGUGGGUUUUUGCAGGUACCGCAUGAAUAAGGACCGGCUAAUUCCGUG
rnacentral:rRNA from 1 species